AUUAAAAGCAGCUAAUGGCCUUGAGAUCCCCUAUGUGGGUUAUUUUGAAACUGACGUGAAAGUGUUGGGACAAACCCUUCGAGGACAGGGCAUUUUGGUUGUGAAAGAUCCAGUUGAUGUUUUUUUUCAUCAAAAGAAAGAAUUUACUCCUGGCCUCUUGGGCAUGAACAUUAUAGGACAAUGUUAUAAUGAUUUGUUUGAAAAACAUGGCCCAGCACUAUUUUCAGUUCCACAGGUUAGGCAGGCAGAACAAGGUUGGAGAGACGCCCUAUCCCAGUGUCACAGGGUGGAGGAUGCCCCUGUUCCUGGCUUUGUUGGGUAUGCCAGAGUGCAGUCCUGCCAACCUGUUCAGAUUCCAGCUGGAACUAUGAGUGCUAUUACGGGAUCAUUGUUUGCUGAUUGUUGCCUGAGUGUCAGCAUGGGAAAUUAAGGAUCUUAGAGGUUCUGUUUUGGAUUUGCUUUACCAUCAGUGGCCACUGGGUUCCCUGCACUGUGUGGAUGGCGGUGGAGAAAAGGUGGUUGGGAUUGUGUGGUGAUUUGGUCACUGUUGAUUUUUGUGUUUUUUUAGGUUGCAGUGUGAUUGCUGUGAGCUGAGUGUGGUGAAAACACUGCUGCUUGGGUACCUCAUCUGUCCUCACUUUCUGGGUAACCGGUGGCCAUUAGUGGUUUGUUUUUUUCUUUUCUUUUAUUUAGUUUAUUUACUUUUUUUUUCCUCCUUAUUUGCAAUAAAGAUGGAGACAAUUUGUAUAUUACAACUUGUGGAAUAAAAGAUAAUUGUCCUCCUAA